GUCCCCAUCGUCUAGAGGCCUAGGACAUCGCCCUUUCACGGCGGUAACCGGGGUUCGAAUCCCCGUAGGGACG
rfam:Hydrogenophilaceae bacterium CG1_02_62_390 cg_0.2_sub10_scaffold_32_c, whole genome shotgun sequence.